UUACGGCAAUAUCACGUUGAAACACCGCUUCUCGCACGAAAGUUAAGCAACAUCGUGCCUGCUCAGUACCUGAAUGAGUGACCGCUUGGGAAUAGCAGGUGCUGCAAG